AUUAUGUAAGUAGCAAAUCAGGUAAAAAAAUAUGUUUGAUUAUAUAUUCAUCAGAAAGAAAUAAUAAUUAUUUUAUCUCACUUCCCUUUUAUGUAUGAAAACAUACUAGUAUGAAGCAUUGAUUCUAUGAAAUAUAACCACACACAUAACAAGAAACAGCAAUAUUAAGGGGUUUGCAAUAUGUUGUCAUUAUAAUGACCAAUGGAUUGAAAAUGUUAGUUUCUAUCGCUGAGAACAUAGCAAAAUGUGUUCUUCUUUUUCUUAUACUCCCAAUUUAAAUUUUAUAUGAUUAUCUGCUAAUAAUGAUUAUUCAUUGCAAUUGUCAGAUCACAUAAGAAAACAAGGAGUUGUGUGGAGAGGGGAAUUGGGCAGCUGAAACGUCGGUUUCAUGUUUUACAUGGGGAAAUCAGACUUUCCCCACAGAAGGCUUGCAAGGUAAUAACUGCCUGUGCAGUGCUGCAUAACCGCAGCAAAGACAGGAAUGUGCCUAUGCCAGUUGUACAUGGAAACAGCCAAUCCGGACAGCUAAGGGCACAGAUGCAAGGUCUAUCAGCCAUUGCACCUGCAGCAACAGGGUUGAGAUAUAGGGAACAGUUUCCAAUCACCUACUUUCCAUAAGUCUGAUUCUGGCACUGGCAAGUCCUCUCUGGCACGUGGAACACAUUGGCCAUGUCCUCAACUUCACCGCUGAAAGAAAUAUAUAUACAUUAUUUGUGUAUUCGGAGCCUUGUGUUUUGUUUUUAUACAG